rnacentral:rRNA from 1 species
GAGCAANCAGGAUUAGAUACCCUGGUAGUNCACGCCGUAAACGAUGAGUGCUAGGUGUUAGACCCUUUCCGGGGUUUAGUGCCGCAGCUAACGCAUUAAGCACUCCGCCUGGGGAGUACGACCGCAAGGUUGAAACUCAAAGGAAUUGACGGGGGCCCGCACAAGCGGUGGAGCAUGUGGUUUAAUUCGAGGCAACGCGAAGAACCUUACCAGGUCUUGACAUCCCUCUGACCGCUCUAGAGAUAGAGUUUUCCUUCGGGACAGAGGUGACAGGUGGUGCAUGGUUGUCGUCAGCUCGUGUCGUGAGGUGUUGGGUUAAGUCCCGCAACGAGCGCAACCCCUAUUGUUAGUUGCCAUCAUUCAGUUGGGCACUCUAGCGAGACUGCCGGUAAUAAACCGGAGGAAGGUGGGGAUGACGUCAAAUCAUCAUGCCCCUUAUGACCUGGGCUACACACGUGCUACAAUGGCUGGUACAACGAGUCGCAAGCCGGUGACGGCAAGCUAAUCUCUUAAAGCCAGUCUCAGUUCGGAUUGUAGGCUGCAACUCGCCUACAUGAAGUCGGAAUCGCUAGUAAUCGCGGAUCAGCACGCCGCGGUGAAUACGUUCCCGGGCCUUGUACACACCGCCCGUCACACCACGAGAGUUUGUAACACCCGAAGUCGGUGAGGUAAC